rnacentral:rRNA from 1 species
AUGAUGGAUACACUUGUAAGCCUUGCUGGCUACCUAGCCGGAAUCGCGUACCCUGUACUGUUGUGGCUGCUGGUGCUUGCCGCCAUUAGCUUCGUCAUCGCCAUACCGCUGCCGUCGGCCAUGGACGAACACCCCUUGCUCACCUGCAUUGUCACCAUCUUCCUGACAGUGGUGGUGAUGACAACUCCUCGAGAUACAUUUGUAAGCCUUGCCGGCUACCUUCCCGGAAUCGUGUACCCUGUAGUGGUGUGGCUGCUGGUGUUUGCUGCCAUUAGCUUCAUCAUCUCCAUACCGCUGCCGUCGGCCAUGGACGAGCACCCCUGGCUCCCCCCCACUAUCACCAUCUUCCUCAUAGUGGUGGUGAUGACAACUCCUCGAAAUACACUUGUAAGCCUUGCUGGCUACCUUCCUGGAAUCGUGUACACUCUACUGAUGUGGCUGCUGGUGUUUGCCGCCAUUAGCUUUGUCAUGUCCUUACUGCUGCCGUCGGCCAUGGACGAGCACCCCUGGCUCCCCCCCACUGUCACCAUCUUGCUCACAGUGGUGGUGAUGACAACUCCUCGAAAUACACUUCUAAGCCUUGCUGGCUACCUGUCCGGAAACGUGUACCCUCUACUGGUGUGGCUGCUGGUGUUUGCCACUAUUAGCAUCGCCAUUAACAUCGUGUACCCUCUCUUACCGCUGCCGGCGGCCAUGGACAAGUACCCCUUACUCACCUUCACUGUCCCCAUCUUCCUAACAGUGGUGCUGAUGAGAACGCCAUGGGAUACAAUUCUUGACCUUGCUGGCUACCUUCUGGAGACCGUGUACUUGCUGCUGCUGUGGCUUCUUGUGUUUCUGGCCAUUAGCGCAGUUGUUAGUGUCCUUGUGCCGUCAGCCAUCAAGGAAUACCCUGACUUGGCCGUCCAGUUCACCAUCGGCCUCACGGUGGUGCUGAGAAUCCCAGCUUUAGGGGGCACAAUCCUCGACAUCGUGUGCCUGCUGCUGGUGUGGUUUCUGUUGUUCUACUCCAUUAGUGCAGUGGUCGGCAGAAUACUUGUGCCGUCUGCCGCCAAGAAGUGCCCCAUGGUCACCUUUGUGUUCGUGGUCGGCCUCACACUGCUGAUGAUGAGAGUGCUGUGGGGAUGGGGCACAACCGUCCAGCUGCCUGCACGGAUCUCUCUAGCUCCCACAACCUUGCCUUUGGACGAGUUGGUUUUGGACGAUUUUGUCAGGUUCCCAGAGUCUCGUCAGAUGGAUCUCAUCUUCAGAGACACUGAAGAAAUGAAGGUGGAACACGAGAGGGAUAUGGAGAAGAUCAUCCCAGGAUCCAGUCUGCUUGCGGAGGAGAUUAAUGACCUUAAGCAUGAUGUGCUAUACCAGGGAGCAACUCAGAGAUUGGUUAUCUACACGGUUACGAUCCUGAUUAUUACCAUGGGCUGCAUGAUCAAAUUCUUUAUUGAAAAUGCCGAUGAUGGGUUGAUCAAUAGAUGUGUUUUCGAGAGGAAUGCUUUGGCUAAGGAUGCGCUGGGCAGUUUUCGUCGGCACAUCCUUCGUUAUGCCUCGAGGAUUUCUAAAUAG